UUGACUUCUAAAUUCACCGGGAAGAAGAAUGUGUGCAUCGCCAAUCCUGAGUCGCCUACAUGGCUUUUAAGGGGACGGUGGGAGAUGUGGUUCACCUUACCUACUGGACUAUCAACAGCAAGCAAAUUCACGGGGAAUUACGAGUAGUUUAUGGUGAACACUUAUGGAAGCACGUGUGUGCUGCAGAGUGUGUUCCACCAAGCCCAACCGCAGACCUGAAACAGAGGCGGUCACAGCCAUGUCGUACCCGCAACCAACAUCAAUAGCCUUUCCAUCUCGUCAAGGACAUCUUAACCACAGUUGAUACCUCAUUUGUUUUUACAUGACCUCAAGCGGUGAGUGGGACAGUGAAAUAGUCAUUUGAAUAAGUGUAUUUGCCGUUUGCAAUUCUUCUUAUCUAUCAUGUGUAAUGUGAUAUGUUGUUCCCGUGCCUUAUUGGCCAGGGACAUUCGAGUCACCUCACUGAGAGGGAUGCAUGAAUUAAAACAUAGGCUAC
ensembl:lncRNA